GCCUGAGUGGCUCAGUUGGUUAAGCAUCUGACUCUUGGUUUCAGCUCAGGUCAUGAGCUCACAGUUUCGUGGGUUCGAGGCCCACGUCGGGCU
rnacentral:tRNA from 1 species